AAUGGAUCUAUGAUGUUAUUAUAAACUGCGUUAUCUAUCUGAAACCUCACUAGAGGAUCUGAGGAAGAAGUAUUAUGCUGAGAUCCAAU